rnacentral:lncRNA from 1 species
ACUGCAUAUUGUUAAGACCCCAGUGUAUUUAAUAGGUAUUUUAUAAGCAUAGCCCAUUGGCUCAUGUUAGUGAAACCAUAAUCCUCUUUGCUUAGAACAUUAAACUCAUAAGAAGUACUACAAACCCCACCACUCUUUAUAGAUGUAUUGUACCACUAAUAUAAACAGCUAAAAAAUGGGGAAAUUGUAAUGUUACGCCUGUGCAAUUUUUAAGUGGCAUAUUAUGGCAGAUUAAAAUUUAGAUACUUGGCUUUUCUUGGGCAAGCCACUAAGUUGUGGCGGAAUGUUUUCUGGUGUUCUUGGACUGCAAUUAUGCACUAUUAAAGUAGUGGCCUGCUACAUAACUGCAUUUAGCCAGCAUUUCUGCAGUGCGUAACUGUGAGGAACGUAGUACCGCAAAUGGCAAUGGACAUUAGGACCCGGAUGUAGUAUUCCUGCUUGCUCCAAGAUUCUCAUUGCCGACUGCAUACAGGUAAGAAUGAUUGAUGUUGGCUGAUAUUGGAGUGCUCAUUCACAUGAAGUGGAUAGAUACUUCUCAAGACAUCACACAGCGUGAGUCAAUCAAGGAGGGAAGCCACAAGCAGACUGACAACGUUUCUAGGAUCAGGUGAGCUGUGUCCAGAAAACCAACGAGAAGGAGUGGAAGGAGGAAUGAACGUUUCAUUCUCGUUAAUAAAGGCAUUAUCCUAAUUA